ACGAACGCUGGCGGCGUGCUUAACACAUGCACGUCGAACGGAAAGGCCCUGCUUUUGUGGGGUGCUCGAGUGGCGAACGGGUGAGUAACACGUGAGUAACCUGCCCUUGACUUUGGGAUAACUUCAGGAAACUGGGGCUAAUACCGGAUAGGAGCUCCUGCUGCAUGGUGGGGGUUGGAAAGUUUCGGCGGUUGGGGAUGGACUCGCGGCUUAUCAGCUUGUUGGUGGGGUAGUGGCUUACCAAGGCUUUGACGGGUAGCCGGCCUGAGAGGGUGACCGGCCAGAUUGGGACUGAGAUACGGCCCAGACUCCUACGGGGGGCAGCAGUGGGGAAUAUUGCAGAAGGGGCGGAAGCCUGAUGCAGCAACGCCGCGUGCGGGAUGACGGCCUUCGGGUUGUAACCCGCUUUCUCCGGUGACGAAGCGUGAGGGACGGUAAUGGGUAAAGAAGCACCGGCUAACUACGUG
rnacentral:rRNA from 1 species